GGGGUGGGGAAGGAUGGGGGUGCUGGGGCCCCAUGGGACUAGAAGCUGUACAAGAGACAGUCACUGCCCCAGAGGGUUUACAGUCUAUCUAGACAAGACAAAGUAUUAUCCCCAUUUUACAGCUGGGCACUGAGGCAUGGAGAAAUUAAAGCUCAGAUCCUCACAGGUAUUUUAAAUCAAUAAGCGUUAGGCACCUGAAUACCUUUGAAGACAUGAGCCUAAGGUCGGGUCGACACUUAACGAUUAGAUCAACCUAGCUACGUCGCACAGGGUGAUGAAAAACUUCGUACCCUCAACAACACAGGGCGACUAACCCUGGUACAGAUGCAACUAGGUUGACAGAAGAUCAACCUAGCUACCGCCUCUCAGAGAAGUGGAUUAACUACAUUGAUGGAAAAACCUCUACUGUUGAUGUAGAAAGUGUACACUGUGCUGUUGUAGCGGCUACGGUGUACGCAUGACCUAAAUGACUUGCCCAAUGUCAAACAGGGAAGCUGUGGCAGAGUUGGUGACUAAAAGAUUUUCUGCGAGAGCAUCUUUCCUAAGAAAAAGCCAUGGAGUUGUCUGGGCUUGUGUCACCCUUUGCUGUGAACAUAACCAGGGUCCUAACAGGUGCUACUGCCAUCCGAACACCCAGGCAACAGCCUAUGCUAGUGAAAGACUCUCGAUCUGCCAGGAUUCUUUCUGGAUAUUUAACCAUGAAUUUUACAUCUCUGCAGCAGCUAACUUCAGCCCAAAAUAUCCCUGGGCAGGGACGGAAUUAAAAUCAGUCGAUAUUUCAUGGGCUCAUUCCAGCUGGUGAAUGAAAUCUACUAUUCCCGUCACAGCAACUCUGCUUCGGACACAUUCAAGAGGGAGGCUGCGAAGCUGGAGAACGUGGGCUUUGUCGGUAAAUAAAAGGCUAAUAAGAGGCAGGAAAAGUCCAAGUCUCAACUUCGUUUCCCAAAGACACUGAUCCUUCUCACAGUGCUGCUGGGAGGAGCAUCAGCAAAAAUCCCCCGUUAUGUACCUGUUCAUAGCGUCUGAUCUGGCAAGGAUCGAAGCCCAAGUCCCUUCACGGAGCACUUCAGGCUGCAGUCAGUGGCACUGAAACGUCAGCGAGGCUCAGCAAUGCCGCGGUGGCGCACGAAUUGGCACAAGAGUACCAGGGCGCAGGGGACAAAGUCGAAAUGUCCAUGGACGUUGGCAGCUUGCUGGUGAGAGAUUAUGGCACUUGCUCGUCGGUGCCUGGGGGUGACACCGAUGCACCGUGGCCAUGGCAAGCCGCAGAGCGGAAGAACGGAGACCCAGCAUGUGCAGGAAGCCUGAUCUCAGAGGGCUGGGUGUUGUGCAUGGCAAGUUGUGUCACAACCAGAUGGCAGCUGGAGGAGCCUGUGCGUGCCCAGGAAAGAGAGAGCUGCUUUUCAUUGAAAGAAUCAUUCCAUCCACGAUAAAACACCAAACCCGGCAUCCCUAUGCUGCACUCGCUAAGGUUGCUCCUUUUGUUCCAUGGAUGCAACCCUACCUUCUCACCUGACCGUGUGCACGGGUGCUUGUUGGGUUGGAGUUCGUAGGCCCUUGUGCUCUGCUCCUCAAUCUAACUGAUGGAGCUACAUUGGGUGCGUGUUCUUACAGGCAUGUGAGAAUACAUUUUCAGAGGCGCUCACACGCCCCGCAUGCUCCUUUGAAUAUGCAGUGUGUACCCAAGACCCUGCUGGCUUAUUCAUAAGACGACUUCAUUUCCUAGCUCCUGGCAGAAAGGAUCUAGUUAUGCAAAGAUGCAGCUUACGCGCGUGUUAUCACUCCCGGAUGCCACAGCUCUUAAGAUCAAUCCUCCAUGGCUUGCACCUCCGUACAUGAGAACCUGUAAGGCAGAUCAAUCAGAUUGUUUUAGCACAGCAGGGC